CAACUGAGUUUAUUUAAUGCGAUUCUGACUUUAUUUCUCAUAUUUGCAAAUUUAUUUGCAAGUUUCUAUUAUGCAAGUCUUAAUUUUUGCUCACAAUUGCAAGUCUAUAACACAAUUCUGACUUUGUAACUCGCAAUUGUGAGUUUAAUAUCCUGCAAUUCUGAGAAAAGAAUUGUGAGAAAAAAAGUCAGAAUUGUGAGAUGAAAAGUCGCAAUUACCUUUUUUUAUUUAGUUGCAAAAACUUUCUUCCACAGUUUUUAUUUAUGUUAAAAAAAAAAAAAAGCUAUUCAUAUUAGUUACACAUUCAACAACACUGUUCUGGUUGUUAGGAGGUUGCUAAGAUGUCCUAGGUGGUUGCUAAGAGGUUGCUAAGAUGUUCUGGCUGGUUGCUAAGAUGUUCUAGGUGGUUGCUAAGAUGUCCUGGCUGGUUGCUAAAAGGUUGCUAAGAUGGUCUGGCUGGUUGCUAAGAGGUUGCUAAGAUGUCCUGGCUGGUUGCUAAGAUGUCCUAGGUGGUUGCUAAGAGGUUGCUAAGAUGUCCUGGCUGGUUGCUAAGAUGUCCUAGGUGGUUGCUAAGAGGUUGCUAAGAUGUCCUGGCUGGUUGCUAAGAUGUUCUAGGUGGUUGCUAAGAGGUUGCUAAGAUGUCCUGGCUGGUUGCUAAGAUGUUCUGGGUGGUUGCUAAGAGGUUACUAAGAUGUUCUGGCUGGUUGCUAAGAUGUCCUAGGUAGUUCCUAAGAGGUUGCUAAGAUGUUCUGGGUGGUUGCUAGGAAGUUUCUAAGAUGUUUCGGUCAGUUGAUGGCAGUUUUCCUCUUGUCUGACAUGAAAAGACCUUUGCUCUGCAUCUGUGGGAUUUUUCGAUGUGUUUUAUUCAUUCAUCCAGCAGGUAAUAACUCAUAUUUAUGCAUUAAUGGUUUUCUGAGAUCAGUUCUGCGGAUGUCACCGGUGACCUUCAUCCACUGACAUCUGACCUCCGUCUGUAAUCAGACCUUCAUCUACAGCGACUUAAACAGAGAUGAAGAUAAAGAUGCACAUUAUGCUCUUCAGUCACACGAAAGCUCUCGACCUCCAGCUCUGCCGGCGUAUAAAGGCUGUAAGUGUCCUGUUUAGCUUUAACAAUGAUUCCCACACGAGAAUGCGCUCCUGUAUAUGAGUAUGUGGGUCGCGCUCAAGGCCACGCUUAUGUAAAUGCACAGACAACACAUUAGUUAGCAGGAUUUGUUGUUCAAAGCACGGUCCAGAUAAAUCACGCUCGCGCGGUGAAGAAUCGCCGCUGUCCUUACGGUAUCGUAGCAUUCAAACGCGCGUGCUGUUAACCCAGUUACACAGAGAGAAAUACAGCUCCCAUGAUUCCGCUGGGCUAUUUUCACACUCACCUCCCAUGACUCUCCGGCUGCGGCGGCUGCGUCAGCGUUCUGUGCCGCAGCGAGACAGUGAUCAAGCGCCCGGCACUUUCUGCAAGCCAGUCACAUUCAAAGUUUGUUUGCCAGCAUGGCAAUUUUAGUAAGAUAUUCCUCUCCCCGACAAAAACCUCUCCAAAGACUUCACGGAUUUCUGGAAGUCACCUUCCUCCCAUGUUGUGCGGGAACGGCAGAUUUUUCUCUUGCUUUGCAAAUCAUAACUUCAUGUUCUAGAAAUUAACAUUGAUUUUAUAUAUAUAUAUAUAUAUAUAUAU
ensembl:lncRNA